AUAGCAACCUUUAUUAUGCAGUACAUCGUUUUUAUCUCUUUACCAUCACAAGUUUGUACUCCCUCCAUCCGAGAAAACUUGUCCUCGCGGUGUUUUUUCAGAAAACCCCUCCCAAACUCCCUGACACAACUCGCAUUCCUCGUCAUCUCCAAUCGACACAACCCGCCGCUCCGACAUAGGUGCAUGGAUGCCGGAGCUUCUUGUUCAGCUCGCCGCGCUACUCCCCUACUCUCCCACGGGUCCUCCUCCGCCGCUCCCUCCUGCCUCGCACAGCUCCCCUGCCCCCUUGCCUCCCUCCCGAAUCUCCCCUCUUUCACCACAAAAAUCAUUUCUUCUCCUCCCACCAUGCCUCCUGCUCACGUGCGGCAACGACACGUCCUCGUCGUCGCCCCCGCCACUAGAGGAGGCGCGAGGACCGGCAGCAGUGACUCGAUGUGCCUGCGCGACCUCAGGUGCGAGUGGGCCGCUGCAUCGUGGGCCUACAUGUCGUUCGCCGCCUUGGCCAUGCGCCUGUCCACGAAGGAGGAGGAGGGGGAUUGCAUUCGCCGGCAAGGCUUCUUCAGUGGACUAUGUCUUGAGGUGUUACUGGGAGCAAGGUACUGGAGAUGAACAAGUAAGGAGCCAUGUACUUGUUCUCACCAGCGGCAGCACGAGAAGGGGACCUCCGGUGACAGCACACGAGUAGGGGAGCUCCGAACGGCAGCACGAGCAGGGGAGCUCCGAACGGCAGCAAGUUCUAGAGGAGCAGCAAAUGGAGCUCGAGCUUGACUUCUAGGCCCGCGAGAGAGCUUGAAGGAGCUCGAGGUCCAGGCGCAGCGGGAGCUCGCAGUCCAGGCGCUCGAGACCCCGACGCGGGCAGGUCCUGGGCGGCAACGGUGCAGGUCAUGGGUGGCGGGAGGGGAUAUCGGCAGUGCAGGGCUGGCGGUGAUAGCACAGGUCCUGGGUAGCAGAGGAGCACGUCCUAGGCGACGGUGGAGGAAGCAAUUGGGCGGCGGUGGCGCAAGCAAUUGGGCGGCGCAGGACCUGGCGGCGGAGGAGCAUAUCCUGGGGCGGCGGUGGAGUAAUCAAUUGGGUAACGCAUGUCCUGGAAGGCGGAGGAGCAAGCCCUGGGCGACGACUGACCCUAGCGACGCGCACGGGCGACGGGCAGAAGAAGGAGGAAGGAGACGGCCACCUGUUUGUAAUAGAUUUAAAGCUACGAGGGUGUUUUGCAAAAUUAGCAGUACACUACACUGGUGACAAGUUUUCUCGGACGGAGCGAAUACAACGCUUAUUUUCCCUUGCAAUAAAAGAUCAUACAUAUUUUAGGAGCAA